GAAGCAUUGUCAUUGGAAAGGCAAGAAGAAUUAAAAGCUUUGAAAGAGCAAUUCAUAGUGCAAGUAACACCUCAUAUUAGCCGGAAGACAGACAAAGAUUCAUCUCUACCUGGUCCAACAUCAGCCCAUGGUGCCUCCAAUUUUAAGAUUGUAAAGAGAAAACCUGAAGAAAGGGAUCAAGAAACAAAAGCAGCNNNNNNAAUGUCUCCAGCGCCAGAUGCGGAGAAAGAAGGAGGAGAAGGAGCCUUUAAUAACCAGUCCAC
rnacentral:misc_RNA from 1 species